rnacentral:misc_RNA from 1 species
UCUCCGUAGGUGAACCUGCGGAAGGAUCAUUAUUGUAUAACCGAGGUGCGAGGGCUGUCGCUGACCCGAAAGGUCGUGCACGCCCGAGUGCCCUCACACACAUCCAUCUCACCCCUAUGUGCACCACCGCGUGGGUCCCCCUUUGGCUUGUUCGGAGGGGGGCUUACGCUUUCACACAAACUUUGUAUGCAGUGUAGAAUGUAUUUUUUGUUUUUGCGAUCACGCAAUCAAUACAACUUUCAACAACGGAUCUCUUGGCUCUC